rnacentral:rRNA from 1 species
AUUGAACGCUGGCGGCAGGCCUAACACAUGCAAGUCGAAUGGUAACAGGAAACAGCUUGCUGUUUCUCUGACGAGUGGCGGACGGGUGAGUAAUGUCUGGGAAACUGCCUGAUGGAGGGGGAUAACUACUGGAAACGGUAGCUAAUACCGCAUAACGUCGCAAGACCAAAGAGGGGGACCUUCGGGCCUCUUGCCAUCAGAUGUGCCCAGAUGGGAUUAGCUAGUAGGUGGGGUAACGGCUCACCUAGGCGACGAUCCCUAGCUGGUCUGAGAGGAUGACCAGCCACACUGGAACUGAGACACGGUCCAGACUCCUACGGGAGGCAGCAGUGGGGAAUAUUGGACAAUGGGCGCAAGCCUGAUGCAGCCAUGCCGCGUGUAUGAAGAAGGCCUUCGGGUUGUAAAGUACUUUCAGCGGGGAGGAAGGGAGUAAAGUUAAUACCUUUGCUCAUUGACGUUACCCGCAGAAGAAGCACCGGCUAACUCCGUG